GAGAAUGUGGGGUGUGUGAGCAGCCUUGUGAACUCCAAAACGAGCAGUCUUUGUUAUCUACUUCGUGGGCUUCAAGAUCUACUCCAAACUGCCUUGAUAACUCCAAAAUGAGCAGUCUUCAUGAUCUACUUCAAGAGCUUCAAGAACAGCUUCAAAUCGCCAUUCUUCUUGAUGGCUUCUUUUUCUUCAUCCCUUGAGAGA
rnacentral:lncRNA from 1 species